AUAUAGAUUAAGUUAUUAAGGGCGCACGGUGGAUGCCUUGGCACUAGAAGCCGACGAAGGACGUUACUAACGACGAUAUGCUUUGGGGAGCUGUAAGUAAGCUUUGAUCCAGAGAUUUCCGAAUGGGGAAACCCAGCACGAGUUAUGUCGUGUUAUCUGCAUGUGAAUACAUAGCAUGCAAGAAGGCAGACCCGGAGAACUGAAACAUCUUAGUACCCGGAGGAAGAGAAAGAAAAAUCGAUUCCCUGAGUAGCGGCGAGCGAAACGGGAAGAGCCCAAACCAAUAAGCUUGCUUAUUGGGGUUGUAGGACACUCUGUACGGAGUUACAAAAGAAUUGGUUAGACGAAUAACCUGGAAAGGUUAAUCA
rnacentral:rRNA from 1 species